AAUUAAUAUAGAAUAGAUCCAAAACCAAAACAGGAUUUGAGACAUCCAGAAGUGGUUGGCUCAUAAUGGCAGGUAGAUGGAGAGAGAAAGAGAGAGAGAGAGGAGAGAAAGAGAGACAGAGUGGGGCAGUUGCAUUGGCUGUGUCUACAGUUGUAGACAGUGUCCUUCAAGGUGCAGUGAACUGAGUGACAGCGCAUUAACAACAGGCUGCCGAACGCAGCACAGGCACUGGCGCUCAGCCCCGAGGGAAGAAAUGUUUAAAUUAUAUACAGCAGCGGUCCCCAACCUUUUUUUACGCCACGGACCGGUUUAAUAUCAGACAAUAUUUUCACAGACCGGCUUUUAAGGUGUGGCGGAUAAAUACAACAAAAUAAAAUGACACGACCGGCAUAAAAACUGGGGUAUUUUUUAAAUAUAAUAAUAAACGUGAAUCCAAUGUGAAAUCGCAACUUUAUUAGCAGCGUCCUGGUAACGUCACACCAACAACAUAACAUGAGUAACAUCCGCGCUGCCCCCUAACACUUAACGUAUCACGUGACCAAGUAACGUAUCACGUGACCGAGACAAGCGUCUUGACAUGCGUCAAGAGUGAGUCAUAGACGGAUGUAACGGAGAGAAUCCGGUCAUUUUUCAAAAUAAAACAUCGUUCAGACUCAGAUAAUAAAUAAAACGGAAAUAAUGUAAGUUAUUUAUUCUUUCUGUGCGGCCCGGUACCAAAUGACCCACGGACCGGUACCGGUCCGCGGCCCGGGGGUUGGGGACCCCUGAUAUACAGUAUGCAGUCACAGAACUACCCUUACAUAUCAACUCUUCCUGACUUCUGAGGUACCGCUGCCUAGCCAACCCAGCAACAGGGCUGGUCAGAAUUCUAAUUCUAAAUUCUAAAUUCUUGAUGAUUUCUACCGGUCAGUGAUCAGGCUGCAUCGGUCUUUCGCUCUGCACAACAAAGGACAAAACAUCGUGAAACAGUUGUACAGUUUACAGACAGUAUUGGACCGGAGUCUCGACAUUACCGGAAGCGCUCAUCGUCGUGAGGACGCUCGGGCAGUUGCUCUAAAAGCCGCUCUCCUGACUCUGAGCGAGUGAAGAAAGAGGAUCGAGCACGUGAGCGGGGACGCAGGGAACGAUCACGCAGCAGAGAGCAGAGGAGAUCACGCUCCAGAGACCGCAAGAGACAGAGGCAGUCUCGGAGUCGUGAGCAUAAACGCUCCAGAAGACGUGAGCGUAGGAGGUCGAGGAGCCGCAGCAAAGGGUGAAGCAAGGAGAAGUCAAAUGGUGGUGAGUAGUCAGCAGAUAAGAAGAAGAAAGAGGAGAAGGAGGAGGAGCGAGUGGAGGAUAGAGAUGAGCAGAUCGAAAGCAUGUUUAACUCUAAGAAGCGUGUGAAGGACUUGGCCGCUCCGGGGGGUGCUGCAGCUUCAGGUUCAGGACUCACCGUUUCUGCUGCAGGAUUUGGUGGUCUCACUGCACCUUCAGCCGGAAACAUUCAGAAACUUGAGAUUGCCAAGAAACUGGCACUGAAGAUCAACGUACAGAAAAACCUCGGUGCAGAAGCUCCGGACGUAAUGCGACAGGCCAUUAACGCCAUCAUGAUGGGUGGCACCAUGAUCGCACCCUCCAUCUCCGCUAAGACCAUUGCUGAGCAGCUCGCAAAGAAAAUCAACGCCAAGCUGAGCUACACACCCAUCGAGAAACUUGAGGAGGAGCGACAGAAUGCUGAACAGGCAGAGAGUGUCAAGAGGUAUGAAGAGGAGCUGGAGAUCAGCGACUUUCCCCAGACGGCGAGAUGGAAGGUGAUGUCUAAAGUGGCUCGGCAGAGGAUUGGCGAAUAUUCAGAGGCUGCCAUCACCAUCAGAGGGAAAUACUUCCCUCCUGUAAAAAAAAACAAAGAGGGAGAACACAAGAUUUACCUCGUCAUCGAGAGUGCAAAUGAGUUGGCAAUGCAGAAAGCAAAAGCAGAAAUCGUACGACUCAUCAAAGAAGAGCUCAUACGCUUGCAAAACUCGUACCAGCCGAAAGCCAAAGGCCGAUACAGAGUUCUGUAGACGAAGACCCUUCUGUUUUUUCGUUGUGUUUGACAGUGACGUAAAGAGGUGAUUUGUGUUUAUUUGACUGAUUAAAUGAAGCUCUCAGUUCAGUCUCAUGAAAAAACAAAAACAAAAAAAAACAGUGCCGGUCAGGGAGUUGUGAUUGAAUUUGUAAACAGUAUGUUACCAUGACCGAAUGUCAUGGUGAUGUCAUUUACCCACUCAGUGACUAGUCAAUGGAAUGUGCUUCAGAAAUCCUUAUCCUAGAACACUAAAACAGCAAUAAAUAGCAUCAGACACUCAGGAGGCAGCGUCAGGUGGGUCUCCAGGACUAGAAUUGAAAAUCUAUCAUAAACCAAUACACAGAUACAAGCCCCAGUGUGUGAGGGUGUGGAGGAAGACUUGAGAGACAGGCAGAAUCUUAAGUGAGCUUUGGGCUCACAUCAUCAUUUCAGAGCACUUUCAAAACGCAACAAAACAACAAAAACUUGCGGCUUAUGGGGAAAAACUGAAAGCACAAAGAGACACAAAUAAGUAGAAUGGUAAUGAGACACAGGUGAGAAUCAUCAAGCGUUACCUCCCGGUUCUGGGGGCUUCCUCCAGGUACUCCAGUUUCCUCUCCCAGUCCAAAGACAUGCAUUGUAUGCUGAUUGGCAUUUCCAGAUUGUCCGUGGUGUGUGGUGUGUGAAUGUGUGCGAUGGGCUGGCACGCCAUCCAGGGUGUCCCCCACCUUGUACCCCGAGUUCCCUGGGAUAGACUCCAGGCUCCCCCGUGACCCUGUGCAGGAUAAGCGGUAUGGAAAAUGGACGGAUGGAUGUUCUGGAAGCCUGGACUUACUAAGAAUUCUAAGCACCAUCAUCUGUCACAACCAAAUCAAGAGAUACCAUUUGCAUCAUCUGCAUGAUGUGUAAAUAAAGUACUAUUGCAGAAAAUAUAGUUGCUCAAUCCCACUAUGCAGCAUGACAUGCAGAAGCCCUGUAGAGCAACAGACAAUAUAAAGACAAGCCAAAAAUUUCAGUCAGGUUAAGACAGGUAUUAAAGCUCGCAGAUAACAGGAUAAAGGACAAAGUGUGCUGUACUUAUUUAGGAAAGCCUGUGCUACAAACUAAUAAGAAAACAGUGGAGGUACCAGACAUGGGGAGAGUGGAGAUGGACGGCAGGUGUGAGAAAUGGAAAGACACGUGAAAUAUAACAUAGGCCAGAAGGGUGAAGAAGGGCAUGGUGAGAGGAGAGACAUCAGGAAGAGUGAUGGGUCCCUGCAUUGGCCAUUAAGCUCCCGGAGAACUAAUUACUGCCUGAGUGACAGCAAGGUGAUCAGCAACGCCUGACACUGGCUUUAAAUUAGCUCCACUAACACUGCGGGCACUGGUCCUGUCAGAGGAAAAAAGGAGCCAUGAAGCAGGAUUGGGGAUGAGAAAAAGUGAGGGAGAUGAAGGAGGAGAAAGAGCAGCGAAGGGACAGUGACAGGGCAAUGCUGUCAAGUGGAGACGGAUGUUGCAGGAGGAGGGCAUGUACAAUUGAUUACCCAGGAGGUCUCACUUGCUCUAAACUGCCUCACCUUUUGUACCCAGCAUCCCUGUCUCUAUUUCUCUCCGUUUAUCUGUCAUCUCUCUUCUUCUUGGAGUGUCCUGUUUAGCUCCUUCAAGCCCCGAUACAUAACACUGACUGUCGCUUGAAGUUUUUUGCACAGCACUGAUACGAUUUCUACACUGGGACUAGUCAUCAACUUGUUUGAUUCAUCCAGCAGUGAGUGAGUGAGAGAGAGAGAGAGUUCUCUGAUUGGCUGUGAGGUUAAUAGCUAGCUGUAUUUUUGCAGUUCACAGAAACAAAAUGGCUGAGCAGACUGUUUAAUUGAUUGUGGCAUAAAAAUGGUAGCCAAGUUAGUUUGCUUGGUUAUUCCCCAAACCGUUUGCUACACCUUUAGAAAAUGGGAGUCCCUCAAGCACUGUUUGGACAGUUAAUGGAUCUAGCUUUCAUACGGGUUUCUAUAUGAAACCUUUUCAGAAAAGGAAACUGUCUCCUGUAGAUUUCUAUAUAAAAACAUAGGGUUGUCCCAAGGAGUGCUAUAUAUACUGUAGAUCCCUUUUUUGUUCCUAGAAGCAUAUCACAUUUAACAGUACAGCACUUUAAUAAUAACUGUAGGUGCUCUUCUAUUCUGGCAUACUGUUUAAUUUUUUAAAAAUUAUGAUAACACUUUACUCGGUUUCUUUUUUUUGUUGUUGUUGUUGUCAUGGUUACAGACUACUGCCACCUCUUGGUUUGGAGAAUUAUGUGAAUUAUCAGCUAUCACCACCGCUGUUUGUUAAUCAAUCAGGGCAGUUGGCUUUGGGUGGCGUUAGUUUGAUGUUGUAUCAGGGUCAGGGAUGUUUCUGAACAUUUGGGUGCCAUUAGUGCCAACUUACUUUGGCCCUAGUGACCAACCAAUCAUGCCUUUCAAGCUGCAGACCACAAGGGGGCCCUGUGCAAAAAACAGAACCGUGAUAACCACUACGUCCUUAUUUUCAUCCCAUGGCUCGAAUCAAUGUACACAAGCGCUUAUACCACUUAUAGCUGCAGCCCUUGUUAAAGAGCAUGAAUUGAGGAAAUCCUAAGCAUCUGCUACCACUCACCUGUUUCUGCACCUGUUAAGAGAUUAUUUCAGGCGUCAGCUGGGAUAAAGCUCUGUAUAACACAGAUGUGCUGGAUGUGGAGUGAGAAGGGCGGUGCUCCUAUCUUUAUCCUCACUAGAUUUGAAAUGUAUCGAUCUAUCUUCCUCAUAAAGUUAGAGCACUUUAGAGCUGAGACUUAUUACUUUUUGCCGUAGCAAGCUGACCACUUUUAGCUUUCUCAGAUCUCCUUGUCAGUCUUGUUGUGUUGUAAUCUUGGCCCGAGCUGUAGAUGAAAGUGCAGCAGACCCAUUAAUGUGUGGCCCCGAUGCCAUUAAGCUCAGUGCACACUUAAGUGCAAUUCUCCGUAUCCGCAUUGUGACGCCCUAUCCAUUUAUGUGAUAAAUUAGUCUGUUGCAGCAUGUUUGUGCAUGUGGCAUGAGUUUGCGCGUAUGCAUCGCGGCUUGGGUGGGAGCAAGCAAGGUCUAGAGAGAAUGAGAGAAAUCAAGACAUUGCAAUAAGAGUUAGGAUCCAUUAGGCGUUUAUGGUUUGUAACCUAAUACAGAAGAAGCUUAGCAGGAUCCGGGGAGCCUAAAGCAGCUUGGAUAAAGGAGAGAGAGUGAUGUGAGGAUGAGAUUGAAGCUGACAGGCGUUUACUGUUUCACCAGGCCCAUGUAGUUCCCACUUGGGGUCAUAACAGGACACGAACGUCUGAUAAAGGGACAUGAAGAUGAAAAUGUCCAGGAUGAGCUCAACACAUCUGACCCCUGAACCUGGCUUGCAAAUGGAAAAUCAAUGUUGCAUUUACAGUCGAGUGUUACAAUUAAAAAUGACUAUGCACAAUUGCAAAUUAACAGUUAAAAAUUAUUAUUCGCAUUUACUAAUUACUGUUGAACCCAGCUGGAGGACACCAGAGUCAGCUGCAACAACAAACCACUAAGAACUACAUUUGUGGUCAAAUUGCCUUUUGCUUAAAGUGUCUGUUUCUCCUUCUCUGGUCGUUUGCACGCAGAAGAUGAAGGUCUUUGGUCAGAAGAUUUUGGCAUGCUUGCCAUAGGCAAAGUUUCACAUUUUAGGAUUAAUGAAGGUACGGGUGAAAAUAGAAGAGUACAUUAAAAGGACAGAGAGCAUGCCAGAGGACAGUCAUGUAGUGAAAGUAGAGCUCUGAAAGAAACCUACAGUCACAUUUGCUAUAUUGUGACUUAAUUAUCUGACUGAUAGCUCAACUGGAAUAAAAAAUGUCAUCUAUACACUUGAUUCUGAAGAAUUAACAUUUGAACGCAAAUCCUAAGAAAAUUGCUAUUUUUCUAUCGGUCAGUGUUUCUUCUUUAUCGGUUUUGCUGUUAAAAUCAUAGACAAAUGGGGGGGCACGGUGGCUUAGUGGUUUGCCUCACACCUUCAGGGUUGGGGGAUCGAAUCCCGCCUCCGCGCUGUGUGCACGGUGUUUGCAUGUUCUCCCUGUGCUUUGGGGGUUUCAUCUGGGUUUCCUCCCCGAGUCCAAACACAUGAAUUGUAGGCUGAUUGGCAUUUCCAAAUUGUCUAUAGGUAGUGUGUGAAUGUUUGUGUGGUUGUGCUCUGCGAUGGGUUGACACCCUGUCCAGGGUGUCCCCCGACUUGUGCUCCAAGUUCCAAGCGACCCUGUGUGGAUAAGCGGUAUGGAAAAUGGAUGAAUGGAUUAUAUCAAAACAUCUUUUAAAGAUCUAUUACACUUCCCGCCUCAUGCCCCCGGAUACGGAUGGACGCCGGAUACACCUUGACCCUGAGCAGGACAAAGCUGAAGUUACUGAAUGAAUGAAUGAAUGAAUGAAUGAAUGAUCCAUGAUACAAUAAUAAAUAAUCCAUAAUAUAUAAAUAAUCCAUGAUACAUGAUUCUUUGACCUAGAAUUUAAGGUAUCAUUGAGUAUUCCAUCCAUCCAUCCAUCCAUCCAUCUUCUAUACCGCUUAUCCUACAGGGUCACGGGGAACCUGGAGGCUAUCCCAGGUAGCAUCGGGCACCAGGCGGGUACACUCUGGAAGGGGUGCCAAUCCAUCGCAGGCCACAAUCACAUACACAUUCACACACCCACUCAUACACUAUGGACACUUUGGACACACCAAUCAGCCUACCAUGCAUGUCUGGACUGGGGAGGAAACCAGAGUGGUAUCAUUGAUUAUUGUUUUUAGUAUAAUAAUAUAGUUACAAUGAAAUAAAAGACAAUUCUCUUUAAAGCAGUGUGAAACUGCUUCACAUCAUCAUCAUUACCAUUAUGUAGCCCCAUCACAUUCACUGUGCCUUGGUUGGUAAGGGAUUAGCAUCACGUAAUAAAAUUAGCUUAUUAUCA